GGCUAGUCCAGUGGCAGUGGAUUUCAGAAUUUAUUAAAAUUAGUGUCACUAAAGUUGGUAUACAAUCCCUCACUGCUAAAUUUGACUGGCUAAAA
ensembl:misc_RNA Y_RNA Y RNA